rfam:Erwinia billingiae strain Eb661 complete chromosome.
ACUGGUUGGUGGCGCACUUCUCCCUGAAUGGGCGAAGGAGUCAUGCACGCAACCAGACGUUGUGCAGAUACCCAGGCCCGCCAAAAGCGGGCCUUUUUUU